rnacentral:rRNA from 1 species
UACAGAGGUCUCGAGCGUUAGGCGGAAUCACUGGGCUUAAAGCGUGUGUAGGUGGAUCGUUAAGUACCUUGUGAAAUCCCACGGCUCAACCGUGGAACUGCUUGGUAUACUGGCGGUCUUGAGCCAGCUAGGGGCUACCGGAACAAAUGGUGGAGCGGUGAAAUGCGUAGAUAUCUGGAGGAACACCGGUGGCGAAGGCGGCAUCCUGGACCGGCAUUGACGCUGAUGAGCGAAAGCCAGGGGAGCAAACGGG